rnacentral:rRNA from 1 species
UACGGAGGGUGCAAGCGUUAUCCGGAUUUACUGGGUUUAAAGGGUGCGUAGGCGGGUUGAUAAGUCAGUGGUGAAACCUCCGAGCUUAACUCGGAAACUGCCAUUGAUACUAUCAGUCUUGAAUUCAGUUGAGGUGGGCGGAAUGUGUCGUGUAGCGGUGAAAUGCUUAGAUAUGAUACAGAACACCGAUUGCGAAGGCAGCUCACUAAACUGCAACUGACACUGAGGCACGAAAGCGUGGGGAUCAAACAGG